rnacentral:sRNA from 1 species
CAUUUGCCCCGAAGCGCGUUAGUGAUGGGAGCGGCAUCCUUUUGCGGGAAACCGCCAGCUGCUCUAUUUCCAUGGAACUACUCCCGCAAAAGAUACAGCGGACAGCACGGCCCGGA